rnacentral:lncRNA from 1 species
UGUAGAUGGAACAAAUUGGUACCAAUGCCAUCUUCUGACUUCCCUUGGAAAUAAGCAAGCAUGUGUUACACAGAGAUACAUACAGGUCUGCAUAUCAGUUUAUUAAG